AGCUUGUGUCGGAUGAAUAGCGUGGCGAAUUGACAGACUCAAGAAUAGUCUUAAGGCCUCCCAACCUGAACCUAGCAAACAAUGGAAGCCUUGAAGGGGGGUGGGCUGGUGGCUCAGCUAAGAGGGACGCUGCGAAUACUGGCAACACCAGCGCACAAGAGGGAUAGAAAACUAGACGUCUCUCUCUCUAACAGAUGGAUGACGCACAUAGUCUGUGAUUUUAUAUUCAAUGUAAACACAGACUCUGGUCCCCUUAACACUGAAGAAGGCAGGGGGAAAGUAAAGGGAAUGGCACAGGGAACGGGAGUGGGGGGAAGAGAAGAGGUGGGACACCCGGAGGACGGAACUAAUAUUUAUCAUUCGUGCCGUGCCAUUUUUUUUUAUCGCAUUUUCUAAAGCCCCAGAAACGCGCUCGAACAACAACCAUCAUCAUCAAGUGCACAGAAAAUACAUACAAAACAUGUUGACACAGUUGCACGCAGAGUUCGCAUUUUUUGGCAAAAGAAGCAGAACACUAACGCGAAAAAAUACAGAAAGCGGGCGAACAUAAGAUCGUCCCUCGCCCUCGUCCCACGCCACUAGGCCUCAAAACGCCAUUGAGCCUUUCCAGAGUAUGAGAGACAUGAUUGUGCACUUUGCACAUAUUCAACCAAAACGUGUGGAAACGUACAGAAAAAAAAAGCAAGACACACAGUUGGGAGAGGGAGAGAGAGAGAGAGAAACGAGAGAAAGAGACAGAGAGAGAGAGAGAGAGAGAGAGAGAGAGAGAGAGAGAGAGAGAGAGAGAGAGAGAGAAAAAGACCUGCGUGGUUGGAAGUGGAAGGAAGGGAAGGGGUUUUAAGUACACAAGCGAAGUAGGCACUCUUUCACACUGAGGGGAAAAAACAUGCCAAACAGCCGGAGUAGCGAACUCCGAGAGGAGAGGUGUUCAAAAUGGACUGAGUACACAGACAUGAAACAGGUAGAGAAACACAUAUGCAUAGGACAGAAGAGCAGGGGACAAGAUGGAGAGAAUAAGACAAUGGAGAAGUAGAAUGCAAACGCUAAAGGAUGAUAAAUACCAGCAGAGGUCGGAUGAGUCCGCUUGUCUCGCCCCGUUGUUCCGCUUUCCCCGCGAUUUUGUUCGGUUCGGCUGUCCCUGUUGUCGUCCUCUGCUCUCUGUCAGUCUUCUUUCUUCACAACUCUUCUCUUUCUCCCCUUUUUCACUUCUCUCUGAUUCGGUCCGGCUCUCUCCGUCCUCCUCCUCCUCCUCCUCCUCCUCCUCCUCCUUCUCUCGCUCGCUCGCUUUCUUUCACGCUCUGUCUCACUGUUUCUGCCUCUCAUCCCCCUUUCCCAGAGACACCUUUCUGUUCCUCUUCCUCUUCCUCUUCCUCCACGGAUCAGCAGAGAGAGAGAGAAAAACAGAAAAGAUCAACUGUUCAAAAAAGAAAAAGCUGAAGCACAAAUUGUGCUGAAACAAAAUGAAAGAAGGGGCCUCAAAGAGGACGCCAGCUGUCAACCCAGCCACCGAUACUGGAACAGCGCGAGACACAGCAAGAGAAAAGACAGAGAGAGACGGAGAAAGAGAGACAGAGAGAGAGCGAGAGAGAGAGAGAGGGAGAGAGAGAGAGAGAGAGAGCAGCACAGAACCGGUUUCUCAGCCAGGAAAACACAAGCACACAGGAGAGAAGAAAAGUCCUGGAGCUAUAGCGGUGAGAGAGGAGUGAACGAGGGAGACAGAGAGAGAGAGAGAGAGAGAGAGAGAGAGAGAGAGAGAGGAGUGAACGAGUGAGAGAGAGAGAGAGAAGGAGAGAGAGAGCGGGGGAGAGCGAGCGGUAAUAUGUGUUUCUAAGUGUAGGCUAGGAAUGGUUGGCAGGGAGAGGAAAGAAGAGGGAGGGAGGGAGGGAGAGAGGGAGGGAGAGAGGGAGGGGUGUUGGGACUGGGACGGAAUAUCUUAGUGG
ensembl:lncRNA